AUUAUUAUUUCAUUAUUAAAAUUGUAACUAUAUAUAUAAAGAUUAAUAAAAUAUUGUUUUAUUGUCAUAUUCAAAGAUAUUAUAACAUUUCACAAAUUUUUAAAAAAAUUUAAAAUUAAACUUUUCGCUUUAUAGGUUUAUAUUAUCGAGUAAAUAAUUAAACAUUUAGUUUUUGUUUAAUUUUUAAAAUAAAUUAUAUAGUUUAAAAUUUGUUUUUAUUGGUUUAAGGUAAUAUAUCACAUUGAUAUACUAUAUAAGUAUAUAAUACGUUUGUAGUAUAUCACAUUGAUAUACUAUAUAAUAUAGCUAGAAUAAUCGAUGUGUUUAAGAUAAAUAGUACAAUAAAAUCUACGUGGCGAAUUAGUGGGUUCCAGUAAAGCUACAAAAGAUAAAUAAAUGACGCUCAACGGAAUAUUACUUUGUGCUUCAGAAAAAAACAGAUAGGUCAAUGCUUUUUGUAUAUAUAUAUAUAUAUUUCCGAUUAAAAUAAAAUUUGUUACGUCAUACGGUUAGAUUAACAUAGUUUUCAGUCUCCUGAAAAGAAAAUAAAAGAAAUAGCUUUCACUUAAUCAGCUUUCGCGAUUAAAAGAACAGAAAAACAAAUUACUUGUCUCAUUUACGUGUAUUGAUAUGAAUAACGAUAACAAGAGUAAUAUUUAGCGAUCAAUAUAUUCAUGUGUCAUGUAAUAUUACCCUAACCAAAAUCGACUUUAUACGAAGAAUAACGCGACAUGUAAGUACAUCGCGUUGAUUUACAUGCUAGAGUGAAAUUGCAAAUAGACACGUAUAUGCCGCUUUAACAUCCGCAUGUGAGCUACCAAUUAUUCUCAAGUUGUUAAGCUAAACAUGAUUAUGAUUUAUGAUAAAAGUCAAAUCCAAUGAUUAGGGAUUAGGAAUUGUUCAAAAAUAACCCAACGUUGUGGUAAAGGGGUUGCAGCUGUAACUUCUGCUACUUGGAUUCAACUCACGGUAGAAAUGACUAUUUACAAUGUUUGAAUUUCCGAUAAAGAGGUGAAAAUAACUUUUUGUUUACCAAAAAAAAAUUGUUCAAAAAUAAAGGAACGAGAGAAACAUCUCUUUUAUUUACUUUUAUUUCGUUAUAGUUGUGUACCUUUUUUUUCCUCUUGAAAAACCUAUUAUGAGAUUUACAAGAAUACAAUAAAAAUUACAAAGAGAAUUUUGAAUUUACGAGUAACGCUAUUGUUGAUAUAUUUUGAAUUAGUGACGACUGACGACUCAUUAAAGCAUAUAAUCAAGAAUUUUGCUGUUCGGUUGGUACUUGGUAAGUCAGGGUCCAUGAGGUGAUGGUUUCUUUUUUAGUCAUUUUUCUUAAGGAAAUUUGACUGUAUAACCAAGAGAAAAUUAUAAUACAAAAUCUAACAAUUUUACCUAAUAAGCUAAAGUACACAACAUAUUUUUUUAUAUAAUUGUCAUUUUGUCCGUUCUAAACAACAUAUUCUAGAUAAUGAUAAUCAUUACAUCAUGUUUUAUUCUUCUUUCACAUGUUUACAUCUAGUUAGGUUAUCAAAAGAUGAAGCCACGAACAAUGAUUCUUCUCCUUCAUUAUUCCAUCAAUUUUAUUUCCACCAUAAUGACCUCCAUCUGUAUAAUUGAACCAUCACCACUAAUUGUUUUACUCGUCACAACCGGUCUUCUCUUCCACCACUGUCGUCACCUAUUUUUUCUUCACUUUCUCCUACUGUCUCUUCUUCUUUUUCUACCUAUUGUAUCAACAACAAAAUAUCUUCUUCAACCACUGUUAGACAUACAUGUUUCCGCCAAUCGUUAUUUAUUCCAUUGGAAGAGAAAAGGUAAAUACAUCUAAAAAAAAUAUUCCACAUCGAUUAUAUAUCUCCAUUCUAUUUUGUGUAUGUACUUGUAAAUGGAAUAGCACAUGUUGAUGUCAUAUGAACAGAUAUAAAUAGAACGAGCAUUUGGAGAUGUUGCAUGAUAUAUAUUAUUGAAAAUCAACUAUAUAUGGCCACUAGGAAGCCUUUUUUCAAAAAAAAAAAAAAAAACUAUGGCCACUAGGAUGUCGAAUACCGUUGAUCAGAAAAAAAACUAUACUGUAUAUAGAUGUUUAUUCUAUAAUUUUGUAUUAGUUAUUUCUGUCUGUGAUAAAAUAUCAGAGAAGAUAACUGAUUCUUUUUCUAUUAUAUUAUAGACAAAUAAAAUAGAUGUGUAACAUAAUAUAUGUUAUGAUUGUUUUUAUUCCACCUGUAACAUUGGUGCUACCACCGGUUGUUUUAUUGCUGCCACUCUUUCUCUCUUCUUCCAGUUGUUUUAUUGCUGCCACUCUUUCUCUCUUCUUCCACCUCAUACCUACUAUAGCCUCCUCAUCUCCUUUAAAUGUUUCAAUGUAAUAUUUUGCUCUAUUCUAUUUGACGAAUGUAAAAUAUAAAUGUGAUUUUAUCAUAAAUAAGUAUGUACUAUUUUUUGAAGUUGUAUCCUUGAUAUGAAUAUUGGUUUAUGAGUUAACCACACCGACACAAGUGAUUUACAAACUCAAUUUAUCAUUUCUUUAACCACAUCCAAACAAAUGAUUGUAAUUCACAAGUUUAUUCUACCUUUCAUUUUAUAUAAUAUAGUUUAAUAUUACAAUAUAUUAUGUGCUAUUCCAGAUUUUAAUUUUAUUUAAAUAUUAUAAAUAUAUAUUAUAGUUUACAUUUGGUUUGGAUUUAGUAUUUAGGAGCUGAAGUAAUGUUUAGUAUUUAAAAAUUGUGGAUGGAAUUAUAAUCUUAUACUACUUCAGCGAUAUGGAAUAUAACGGUGCAUAUGUAUGUUAUUAAAUGGAAUAAACCAUUUACUGCAACAUCUUUAUAUUUUAAAUCACUCCUUUCACUGCCUACAGUAAAUAUAUAUGCAGUAAAUAUCAGGCUGACAUGGCUGGCUCCUCCUCAUUCAUAUGGAAUAGUUUCGAGUUGUUCUUUACCAUAUAUUCUAUCGGCCACGUCAUUUCCUUCUGCACAUAGUCGGAUAAUUAUAAAAAGAAAGGUUAAAAUCGGAUGACUUUUGGCAUAAAUGUUAGAUUAUACAUCAAAAUCAAUAUGGUUACUUAGUUUCUAUUGCCAAAUUGGUUAGUACAUAAAUAAGUCAUUCUCUUUAUGCGAAUUCAUUAGUUUUAAAGUUUCAAAUUUAUGUUGUAUGUGUUUAAAUUACACCAGUGUAUCAGAAUAUAUAUUUAGUCUCUAUUUUUCAGCAAUUUUUUUUGUUUUUUUUUUAAUUUGUUCAUGUUUAUUUUCUUGCAUUCUUUAUAACAGUUAUUAUACAAAACUACAUUGAAUAGCACUAAUUCAACAGUUUAAUAUCCAAACAUAUAAAAGAAACAAAGAGACUAAAGCUGCUAAAUAUAAAGAUAAAUAUUAGAAAAACUCUUAGCAAAACAUUUGAGUUAAUAUAUAUGAACAUAGAACAAAAUUAUUUUAUUGCUUCGGUUUACUUUGAUUCUUUUUAAAAUUAAGUUACACACAAAAGCAUUAAGAGAUAUUUUUUUGGGUAAAAAGCGUUAAAAAUAUUUAUACCCCCUAAAACAAUUUUACAAAAAUCUAGAACUUCUAACAUCAUCUAUGUAUAGUUCUACCAUGGUGCUUAGAUAUCAUUAUUAGAUUCUAGAAUUGUAUACAAUUGUACGGUGAUAUUUUACUGAAUGUGUGUGUUUCUUGUGUUCUAGAUUUUUAAAGAUUUUCUACUACCAAAACUUAUUUAAUUGUUGCAGACAAUAAAACUACUGCAUUUUAGGUUAGAAUUUUUUUAUAAAAAAUCUAAAACUAGCUAAUUAGGGUGGAAAUGCACGUUCGUCAGUUUAUAAGAAAAAAAAUUAGAUUAAUUGAAAUUGUUUUUAGUGGUACAAUUUAUGUUCCAGUGGUGAUUUGAAGAUAUAAUUUGAUAGUGAAUAUAAUUUUUUUGAGAGCUACAGUUAUGUCAUGGGUUUCUCUGUUAAACUUCAAAAAGACUUUUAUCAAAGGUAGUGUUCAACAAUCAGUCAAGGUGGACGAAAGUUAACUCGUGAAUGAAGAUGUAUUGCUCCUGGUUUGAGAAGGUGUUUGAACGGGUCAUGAUAAAUACCAGAAGAUGUAUUAGUUAUCUGUAGUGAUUGAUGUACUAAUCUUGAAAUAGUACAGGAAAGGGUAUAAUAAGUCAUACAAGAUACUAACUUAUGUGACUGCUGAAAUACAUCAGUGGACAACAACACGGGGUCGAUUAGGACCAACCCAAGACAUGAUGUUGAGCUGGAUAAUCAUCAUGAAUAGUUUAGUUAAGAUUAUGAAAAAGUUUCUUUAUUUAUAGAAGGUGAAAAAUGAAAGAUUGCUUAGAGAUCUUAGGACUUAACAAUCAGUACAAAUAUAAAAUUCUAUCUCAUGAAAGCUUACUUGUCUAGGGUAUUUCUCAGAUAUGCACACAAGAUGUAUAGGAUGGUAGUUAAUGAUAGUGUUGCUUCAUAAUCAUCGUAAGCCUUUUUUCAAAAAAAAUAAUAAUCAUCCAUCUAAAAAUAAUAGUAAGCAUUGUAGUGUUGGAUACCAUAGCAAUGGUAAUCGUAAUCUUGUUCUAGUAGAUUUGUUUUUCAGAGAUGUAGAAAAUUUAACUUCGAUAAGAAAAAUUAUAUGUUUAUUUAUUUAUUUUUAUACUCAUGCAUAUUCUAUACGCACUCGAACAGAUAGUGCUAGCCACAAAUCACACUUUGAGUGAAGCCACUGGACCUUCAUGUGCAGUGUAGGAAUGUUGCGGGUUAAAGUUAAAGAUAAUGUUUUUUGGCAUAAAUUAGUCACCAAGUAGUUUAACCAAUAUAUCUCUCUUUUUUUUUUUUUAUCAAAAAAAACCAAUAUAUCUCUACAAGCAACUUCAAGAUAGUAAAACUGAUAUUAGAUUAAAGUGAACAUAAACUAAUUGGUGGGCUUAAUGGGCUCGACAGGGCAAGUUGUAAAAGGCAUCAUAUAUCGACAAUUCUAGCACACGAUCAUGCCAUAUGAAAACACUUUUCCUGGUGGUAGCCAAUCCCGAUGGUUGAUGAUCCAGUUUUAGGUUGAGUAGUUUUCUUUAAAAAUAGGUUAGUAGUUUAGGUUAAAAUUCAAAUCAAAUAGAAUAAAAUUGUUUUUCGAAAUUUAUGUGGCUGAUUUUUUAUAUCUAAUCUAUUAAAACAAAAGUACAAUUUAGAAUUAACCAUAAGACUUACAACUUAUUUACGAAUCUAUGCCAUUAAAGUAAUAACCAAACCUAAAUUUAAGCAACUAUUGUUUUUUCCUAAUUUGACAAAUAAUAUCCUCAAUCUAAUACACAAUCAAUUUGGUUUAAUUAUCUUACUAACAUAUAGUAAUAUUAAAAUUUUAUGUCCACAAAUAAAACAUUAUUGUAAGUUGUUUUCAAAAGUUCAAUUUUAAAUAUGUCGACCAUUACAACUUCAAAAUACACAAAUUCAUAACAACAAAUGUAAAUACAAAUUAAAAUAGCAAUCAAUAGACCCUGCAGUCGGUCCAAAUCGUGAACUCCAACAAAACAGAAGAAUGUUUAAAGUUUCGGUCUUAUUAGACCAUCUUUAUCCCGGGUUAUUAGGGGGUUUCUUAACCCGGGAGUCCCACAAAAACCAUAAAAACCGAUCACAAAAGUAAUGAAAUAAGAACCGAUCUUGGUUGGGUUUUUGCACUGUUUGCAGACCCCACCGACACGUGGCAGCCCGCGAUUAAUUCGCUUUUUAAUUUUUUUUUUCAGACCAAAAAAAAUUAAUAGCGUUAAAAUGUUCUUAGUAUAUGUUUUCUCAUUUUGUAUUUACAUUUUUUAUAUAAAAUUUGUAUUUACAUUUUAAGAUUUGCCAAGCUCCUCCAAACUAUUCUUCCUAAUAAAACUGAAUUUCUUUGCAAAUGUCCACCCACGUAAACUAUUCUUCUUCACACAUAUAUGUUUUGCAUUUAAAAAAUGUUAUAACAAAUUUAUUA